UUAUGAUGGUAAUGAUGAUGAUGAUGAUGAUGAUGAUGAUGAUGAUGAUGAUCAUCAUCAUCAUCAUCAUCAUCCAUUAUUAUUAUUA
rnacentral:pre_miRNA from 1 species